rnacentral:rRNA from 1 species
UACGGGGGGAGCAAGCAUUGUUCGGAUUUACUGGGCGUAAAGGGCGCGUAGGCGGCCAGCACAAGUCAGUUGUGAAAUCUCCGAGCUUAACUCGGAAAGGUCAACUGAUACUGUGCGGCUAGAGUGCGGAAGGGGCAACUGGAAUUCUUGGUGUAGCGGUGAAAUGCGUAGAUAUCAAGAGGAACACCUGCGGCGAAGGCGGGUUGCUGGGCCGACACUGACGCUGAUGCGCGAAAGCGUGGGUAGCAAACAGG